CAGUCGCCACGGUAAUACAGAGGGUGCGAGCGUUAAUCGGAUUUACUGGGCGUAAAGCGUGCGUAGGCGGCUUUUUAAGUCGGAUGUGAAAUCCCUGAGCUUAACUUAGGAAUUGCAUUCGAUACUGGGAAGCUAGAGUAUGGGAGAGGAUGGUAGAAUUCCAGGUGUAGCGGUGAAAUGCGUAGAGAUCUGGAGGAAUACCGAUGGCGAAGGCAGCCAUCUGGCCUAAUACUGACGCUGAGGUACGAAAGCAUGGGGAGCAAACAGGAUUAGAUACCCGGGUAGUCCCUGUCUCUUAUAA
rnacentral:rRNA from 1 species